rnacentral:rRNA from 1 species
GGCCAGGCUGUCUCCACCCGAGACUCAGUGAAAUUGAACUCGCUGUGAAGAUGCAGUGUACCCGCGGCAAGACGGAAAGACCCCGUGAACCUUUACUAUAGCUUGACACUGAACAUUGAGCCUUGAUGUGUAGGAUAGGUGGGAGGCUUUGAAGCGUGGACGCCAGUCUGCGUGGAGCCGACCUUGAAAUACCACCCUUUAAUGUUUGAUGUUCUAACGUGGACCCGUUACCCGGGUUGCGGACAGUGUCUGGUGGGUAGUUUGACUGGGGCGGUCUCCUCCUAAAGAGUAACGGAGGAGCACGAAGGUUGGCUAAUCCUGGUCGGACAUCAGGAGGUUAGUGCAAUGGCAUAAGCCAGCUUGACUGCGAGCGUGACGGCGCGAGCAGGUGCGAAAGCAGGUCAUAGUGAUCCGGUGGUUCUGAAUGGAAGGGCCAUCGCUCAACGGAUAAAAGGUACUCCGGGGAUAACAGGCUGAUACCGCCCAAGAGUUCAUAUCGACGGCGGUGUUUGGCACCUCGAUGUCGGCUCAUCACAUCCUGGGGCUGAAGUAGGUCCCAAGGGUAUGGCUGUUCGCCAUUUAAAGUGGUACGCGAGCUGGGUUUAGAACGUCGUGAGACAGUUCGGUCCCUAUCUGCCGUGGGCGCUGGAGAACUGAGGGGGGCUGCUCCUAGUACGAGAGGACCGGAGUGGACGCAUCACUGGUGUUCGGGUUGUCAUGCCAAUGGCACUGCCCGGUAGCUAAAUGCGGAAGAGAUAAGUGCUGAAAGCAUCUAAGCACGAAACUUGCCCCGA